GAUGAACGCUGACGGAAUGCUUAACACAUCAGCAAUUGAUUGGUGGCGGACGGGUGAGUAACGCGUAAAGAACUUACCUCACAGUUAGGGACAACAUUUGGAAUCGAAUGCUAAUACCUAAUACUGUGAGAGAGCUUUGCGUCCCAUUAGCUAGUUGGAGAGGUAACGGCUCACCAAGGCGAUGAUGGGUAGCCGGCCUGAGAGGGUGAUCGGCCAGAAGGGGAACGAGACACGGCCAGUACUCCUACGGGAGGCAGCAGUGGGGAAUAUUGGACAAUGGACCAAAGUCUGAUCCAGGAAUUCGGUGUGAACGAUGAAGUUUUCGGAAUGUAAAGUGGUUUCAGUUUGGAAGCGGUACCAACAGAAGAAGUGACGGCUAAAUACGUGACAGCAGCCGCGGUAAUUC
rnacentral:rRNA from 1 species